rnacentral:rRNA from 2 species
GAACCUGCCCAGUGAACAGUUUAACGGCCGCGGUACCCUGACCGUGCAAAGGUAGCAUAAUCAUUUGCCUUAUAAUUGAAGGCUUGUAUGAAUGGUCUGACGAAAGCAAUACUGUCUCUUCUUUAUUAUCUAGAAAUUAACCUAUGGGUGAAGAGGCCUAUAUUAUAUUGAAGGACAAGAAGACCCUGUCGAGCUUUAGAGUAAAGCAGGAAUAUAAGUAUUAAAAAAAAUCAAUGACUACAUAACUCUUUAGUUGGGGCGACUAAGGAACAAAUAAAGCUUCUUUUAGUUUUUUAGAUCAAUAAAUUUAGAUCCAGCAAAGCUGAUUAAAAGAAUUAGUUACCGCAGGGAUAACAGCAUAAUCUCUCUUGAGAGACCUAAUCGAAAGAGGGGGUUGUGACCUCGAUGUUGGACUAAAAUAUCCUGAAGAUGCAGACGUCUUCGAAGGUUGG